GUGCCUGCAGCAAUGUUCCAACAUCUAGUGGAAAGCCUUUCCAGAAGAGUGGAGGCUGUUAUAGCAGCAAAGGGGGGACCAACUCCAUAUUAAUUCCCAUGAUUUUGGAAUUAGAUGUUCGAUGUGCAGGUGUCCACAUACUUUUGGUAAUGUAGUGUAUAUUCAAAGUGUUAUGUUUUUACUCUCACAGUUAGCCUGUAAUGGCAGCUAUAUACACUCUUCAGCUUGAAAUAUUAUUGUAAAGUCUCAGGUAAAUACCAAUCUGGGUCCUGGAGAGCUACAAGGUGUGCAGGCUUGUUUCAGCCCAGUACUAAUACACCUACUACCUAAGACAGUGAGACUAAUGUUUUCCCCAGUAGGGGGUGUGGCCUGGAUGCAUUACAUCUUUAAGAACGCUAUGACUACAAUGGCAGAGGUCUUCUCCUCAGUUACUGUACUCAUGGCUCCCGUUCCUGAGCUGCUGCUGGCCACUCUGGAUGAUCUGCUCAAAACAGAGCUGAAGAGAGUCUAGUGGUUCCUGAAAGGUUUAGAAGGCUUUUGUUGCAUCACAAAAGGCCAGCUGGAGAAUGCUAACAGAUAGACUACAGUGGAUAAGAUGGUGGAGACCAAGGUAUUGAGGGAGCUGUGAAGAUCUCACUGGAAAUCCUGAAGAUUAACCAGAACCAACUGGUUGAAACAGUAAAGAAUCAGUACGAUGAGGGUGAGACAACAGAACCAGCAGGUUAGAGGAUUAAAAAAAAAGUAAGAUGACAACUGCACAAACAAAUAACAGGACACUGAUUUUUCAGACUAGACAACCAAACAAGAACAUUUGAACUAAACAAGCUGUCUCUCUCUUUCUCUCUCAGCCCAGAGUGCUUCAGAGGUUCUAGAUGUCAGAGACAAAGACAAACUGAAAGUCUAAAUAAGUAUGGUUGUAUAUGAGGGGACUUCAAAGAAGGGGAAUCUGUCUAAAUCUAUCUAAACCAGAUAUACAGUGAUCUCCAUGUGAUUGAGAGGGCCUGGGGAAGGGUCAGAGAUGAGCAUGAGGUCAUACAUCUGGAAUCCAGAACACCAGCCACAGGAGAGACCGCUAUUGAAGCCAGCCGAUGUUCAAGCCCAUGGGAAAGACUGCCUCUGUUCAGAAGUUUAUUCACGACUGGGCAGAAGGAAAAGAUCUUUCCACAAAAAAAGAUCAUUAUGUAGGGGAAAACAACUGUGAUUGAACUGCUUCAUGAAUUCUUCCCUAAAAUGAAACCAAUCAAGACUAUGACGAGAAAUUCUAAAGUUCUGUUCAUAUUUGAUGGUCUGGAUGAGUGUCGACUCUCUCUGGACUUAAAAAAAAGGCUCUUGGAAUCACGUGACCCUUGAACAAGAUGGCCGCAUGAACUGAAAGCUCUGCACAAACUGAGAGCUCCGCACAAGUCAUUUCCAAUUCUUAAUCUUACCUCCACUUCAAGUUAAACCCCAUUAGCUUUAGUAAGAAAAACAUGGCGGCUACAAAAGGUGACAUUACAUGUGACAUUUUUACCUGGACUCGAGCAAUAUCUGCGGAAAAAGCCUCCAAGAAAUAGCUAGCUUCAGAAAAAGCUAGCGCCUCUUGCGAAGACAUCCUUUCUUAGCUUAGAUCCCAACGUACAUAACUCAACAUCAAACUAGAUGCCAUUAACUCUCAGAACAGUGGGAUAGGGGGCAAGGCGACAACCCUGGAAAAUGCCUUUCUUGGCAUCAACAACAAGAUAACCAUCAACGUGGGGCGCCUGGAUGAGGCAGAAGGGUGAAUCCUAUCCAUGGAAAACUCAAUGGUACAUGCCAUGGAAACAACAGCAUCUGGCAGACGCCAUGGAAACAAUAGCAUCUGCUACCAUGGAAACAACAGCAUCUGCUGAAAAGAAAAUAGAGCAUCUGGAAGAGAAAACAGAGGACCUGGAAAAUAGAGGGUGAAGGAAUAACUGUUCUAUUAAACCUGACUGUAAAAGAAGAGGGAAACAUACCACUGAUCCGCUACCUGCAAGACAAACUUCCCGAGUGGAUCUCAAGAGAGCUUACCGAGUACUGAGGCCCUCACCAGCAGCCAGACAACCACCGCGCCCAAUCACCAUACAUUUCCUGAGAUUCACCAACAAGGAACGAGUCCUACAGACGGCGACAAUCAACACCAUUACAGUGGGAAACACCAAACUCACUUUACACCAGGACCUGUCAGCUGGAAUACGCAGAGAGUUUGACGAGGUGAAGAAACACUUCAAUGACCGAGGCAUCUUCAGGGGAUUCAAAUACCAAAACGAGCUCAGGAUUCUUCACCAAGGAGCCCUGCGACACUUCAAAACUCCCGAAGAGGCAAAAUGUUUUUUGAAGGACAAUCCUGGCCACUGAGAAAUGGACCAACGACUAAAAGCGAUUUACUGUUAUUAUUAAUGGAGGUAAGACGACAUAUAGCCCCCAUCCAAUUACCCACCCACCCCGCUAAUGUCUAUUUUUUUUUAUUUUUUUAUUUUAGCUGAAAGAUGGAUAGGCCCUAUAGCUUAUCCUAGGCCUUCUAAUGUUUGUGCCUACUUGUUUUUCCUCUUUUAGGUCAAGUGAGAAAAUUAAGCAUUUACAGCCUGUUAUCUUGUCUGUAGAACAUAUAGGCUAAUUGGCAGAGAUAGAGAUCAGAUACUGUCAAUUUAUAUUAGGCCUAUAGCCUAUUCUUUUUAUUUGUAUUCAUCAUUUUCACACAGGCCUUCACCAUUGAUAGCCUGUCAAUUACGACACAUCUACAGACGUAACGAAAGGCUCAGUGUGUGAAUUUUUUGCCCAUGGUUAUGACCGCCUUAUCCUGUUGAUUAUUUUGUUUUAAUAAUAACAAACAACUUAUCCUAUAGAUGUCAUUUAGGGAUUUGCUCUCUCAUUUCUGUUUUAUUAGUCCAAACAUUUAGGCCUAUGUCCUUUGGGGGAUGUAUUUGUAGGCUAGGCUAUUGAUUUUAUUCACUUCAUUUCUCCAUUUCUUUUUUACUGUGGAUGGGGGCUAUGUUGUCACACAGAGGAUGAGGCAUUUUUUUCUCUCUCUCUCUCAGAAGACGUUGUGCGUUGCGAACCGUUCAUGUUUUUCGGAACACAGAAUUGUGACUGAUCCGACAGGAACACAGAAUUGUUAACAGAUCCGACAGGAUAUGUCGAGUUGUUGUUUGGGAACUUGGAUUAGGUGUUCAGAGAAGGUUAUUUUAUGUACACUGUUUCUUUUUCUUUUAUGUGAUCGCAGCUGUAACUAUUCACCUAUACUGUCACACCCUGAUCUGUUUCACCUGUCUUUGUGAUUGUCUCCACCCCCCUCCAGGUGUCGCCCAUCUCCCCCAUUAUUCCCUGUGUAUUUAUACCUGUGUUCUCUGUUUGUCUGUUGCCAGUUCAUCUUGUUUGUCAAGCCAACCAGCAUUUUUGUGUUAGCGCCUGCUUUUCCCCAGUCUCUCUUUUCUCGUCCUCCUGGUUUUUUAACCUUGCCUGUCCUGGCCCUGUACCCACCCGCCUGACCACACUGCCUACCCCUGACCCUGAGCCUGCCUGCCGUCCUGUACCUUUGCCACACCUCUGGAUUACCGACCUCUGCCUGACCUGAGCCUGCCUGCCGUCCUGUACCUUUGCCCCUGUUGCUGUAAUAAACAUUGUUACUUCGACACGGUCUGCAUCUGGGUCUUACCUUGAUACCUGAUAUAUUCCCAGAGAUGACUUGCACUAGAGUUCGAUUACUGUUCGAUGACGGUGACUAGUACCUUAAAUCUACUGACAUGAAACUGCCAUGGACUAGGUCAUGCAAUAAAAUGGUAUAAAAAGGAAAAAAUGGACAUUGCGCUAUUACAAGAGGUACACCUCUGUGGUGCUGAACAUGCUAAACUCCGCAGAGCUUGGGUGGGACAGGUGUAUUUCUAAUCUUUCAAAUCAAACAGUAGAGGCACAGCCAUACUUAUCCAUAAGCAUGUUCCAUUCAUAAUUGACAAAAACAUAUCUGAUCCGGAGGAGAGAUUUAUUCUGGGUCAAUGUAUGGGCAACCAAUUACUAUCUUAAAUAUACAUGCCCCUAACACAGAUACUCCUGCUUUCAUGUCGAAAAUAAAAACCCUGUUCAAUGAGCA